UCUCUCUUACCUCUCCACUAGCUCACAGCGGAACUCAUCACUUGUUUUUUUUCCCCUGUAAGUUUAGCCAUUUGCUCUCGAUCGACCUCCAUCACCUUCUUAUUCUUCAAAGAAUCUGUUUCACCGAUUUCUUCUUCUCGAUCCAGAUCCGGAAGUUGAAAUAAAAGUCAAUACCCUCAAGCUAAAAAUCGAUUUCAUCGGUAGUCUGUGUUGUCAAUGAUGAAAUCCUUUUUGCGAUUCAUUGGGGGUUUCGGUUUACUUCUUUAAUGAUUCCUGAUGAUGAUUGUGUGGUGGUGGUGAUGAAGCGGAAGUUGGUGGAGAUACAUAUUGAAGAAGUGCUUGAAAGUUUGAGAUGUAACAAACUAGGGCUUUCUAAUGAAGAUGCUCAACAGCUAUUAGCGGUGUUUGGUUACAACAAACUCGAAGAGAAGGAGGAGAAAAAGUUGUUGAAGCUCUUAUCGUUUAUGUGGAAUCCGUUGUUGUGGGUAAUGGAGGCAGCAGCUAUUAUGGCUAUAGGCCUUACUUAUGGAGGAGUAAGUAAUCUGUAUAUGUUUUCCAUUAGUACUACUUUCUUUCUGUAGUCAGAUUUGGCUUUGGCUUUGGCUUUGGCUUUGUCUUGUGUGUUAAUUACUACUACUUGGGGUUUUCUUGCAUGGUAAACCACCGGAUUAGCAAGAUUUCAUAGGGAUUACUGUACUUCUUAUAAUCAACUCAACUAUCAGUUUAACGCAAGAAAUGCUGCUGCUAGUUUGAUGGCUCGUCUUGCUCCUAAUGCUAAGGCUGAGUUCUUUAACAAGUUCCUCGAUGUGAAAAUCCUUGAGCAAGGUUGAUAGAAUCGAUUCUUUUGGAUUUGAUGUUUGAUGAGGAGGCAGAUGAAAUUGUUUUUAAAUUAUUGAGCCGUGGUUGUAAAGUGCGUCUUACUGGUUACGAUGAUGGAAACGGUAAUGUUGGAGAUCAAGAGUGAUGUAGCAGCAUCUGAAGCAAACAAGGAAAGUGAUGAUCCCAAAGUAAGGAAGAGAAGGAAGUCGAGGCCAAGAAAUACGAUGACGAUAAGGUACCUGGUUCACCACAUUUUCAUUGAACUCAAAAGGCCAUCACAAUGAGCAACCACUUCCAAGGCUUACAACACCAUAAUCAUCUCGUGCAAACGGUGGUUCGAAGUUCCUGCAUUUGGACAAGUACCAUGGAUACUUCCUGUACCUACAAUAAUGAUUUUUGGUAUAGGGAAAUCGUAAUAGGAGAAGACACUUGGACAUUGUGGAGUGACAAGUGACAACAAUCUACAUAAGCAGCAGAAAUCUCAAUGAUAAACGUCAUUCAUUGGAGGCAUGCAAGCACGUGCAGAAGAGGGAUGUUUUGGUUGGUACUGAUAGGCCAGCAGAAAUUGCUUUUGCAGACACUUUCAUUGAGAUGGAUACUGCCUGUGUACCUGCUAUAACGAUUAUUGGUAGAGGUAGUUUCAAUUACAAUAAAAUCAUAAUAGGAGAAUACACUCAGACAUUGUGGAGUGACAAGUGACAACAGACUACAUAAGCAGCAGAAGGCUCAAUGAUAAACGCAAAAUUUUGGGAGAAACUUGAAGCGAACAAGGAAAAAUUCCCAUGCCACCACAUGUUAUGCAAGUCAUUGAAGAAGAAUUUGCAAAGAUCCAUCUGUUAGGAGCCACAUGUUGGGAAACUUAGAUGAAGCUCACAAGGUUAGCGGAUGUCUAUUUCCUUUGUCGUAUGGUUUUGAUUGCUUUUAGUUGAUUUAUUUUGAUGCAAUCUGCCUUUAUAGCAAGGAUACAAUAUUUACUACCCUAUGACCAACAAUGCUCUGAUAUCUGCUAUAGCAAGAAUUGUCCUUAUAUUCGAUAUACUUGGUUGAGUGUUUCGUGUUUUGAGUAAGUAUGUAUUUGAAUGCACUUAAUCUGCCAUACAUCUUUAGUAUAUUAUUCUGCGAAUACAACAUAGUAAUGUUGGGGAAGCUUGCCUUAGGAGCGAACACAACUGGUAAUGUGUAGUCUGGCAGCACUAUGUAAUAUUUAUGUUUUGAAUAUGAGGUCCAAAAAGCAUAGUAGGAUCUAACACAACUGCCAUAUGCUUACCCAUGUACGAUAACAUUCGUAGCUGGAUGGAAGAACUUACGCUCAAGAAUGCUCCUUACUUGAAAACUUAUGUACCCUUAGUUUCAGGCUCGUAAGUUGUUAGACCUUUUCUUUAACUUAGUGCCUCUUUGAAUGUCGUGUUUGUCUCUAUUAAGCUCAGGAUUUCUAGAGUCUAUUCCCAUGUUGAUAACCAUCUAGAGUCUAUUCCCAUGUUGAUAACCAUCUAGAGUUUAAACAUGCGAAAUAGUCUUCUCAAUUUUUCUUUGACUAUGAUAUAGGAAGAUUAGAUUACUAAACAGUUAUGUGAGUGAUAAUUUAUGAUAUGAGAAAGAAUCUGAAGAGUAUGAUAAUACUUUUUUAUAUAUUUUAUUGAAGAGAUCUUAUUUGUGGAUCCGUAAAUAUCUUUAUGCAUCACUAAUAAAGUUUAUGUGCUAUCUGAGAUUCGUCAUGGAAAGUGGUAACAAGGGUUACGAGGUUGUUUCCUUAACUUCUGAGUAAGUUGUCAUGUGCUUCUGUGAGAGUAAGUUGUCCAUCUUUGCAGCUUGUAUUAUUCAUGACUGUUAUCUACCUGAUUAAUGAUUUUUCGUGGGUUGUAGUAAUGAAGGUUCGAACUCUAAGACUUGUGAAGGUGAAGGAUUUUUAGAUUUAUAAAAAUUAUGUACAAAAAUAUUGACAAAUUGGUAGAGA